rnacentral:misc_RNA from 1 species
AAGGAUCAUUAACGAGUUUUGAAACGAGUUGUAGCUGGCCUUCCGAGGCAUGUGCACGCUCUGCUCAUCCACUCUACCCCUGUGCACUUACUGUAGGUUGGCGUGGGCUCCUUAACGGGAGCAUUCUGCCGGCCUAUGUAUACUACAAACACUUUAAAGUAUCAGAAUGUAAACGCGUCUAACGCAUCUAUA